rnacentral:ncRNA from 1 species
CUCUGUUUCGGUUGAUUCAGGGCAAAAAGGAG